GAUGAACGCUGGCGGCGUGCCUAAUACAUGCAAGUCGAGCGCACGGACGAGAAGCGUGCUUCUCUGAUGCUAGCGGCGGACGGGUGAGAAACACGGGGUAAACCUUCCUAUACGACUGGGAUAACUUCGGGAAACCGGAGCUAACACCGGCUAAUAUUUUGAACCGCAUUGUUCAAAAGUGAAAGACGGUCUUGGUGUCACUUACAGAUGGGUCCGCGCUGCAUUAGCUGGUUGGUAAGGUAACGGCUUACCAAGGCAACGAUGCCUAGCCGCCCUGAGAGGGUGUUGGGCCACCCUGGACCUGGGACACGGUCCAGACUCCUACGGAGGGCGGCGGUAGGGACUCUUCGCAAUUGGGGGAAGGCCUGCCGGGGCACCGCCGCGUGGUUGAUGAGGGUCUUCGGUUCGUAAACUCCUGUUAUUGGGGAAGAACAGAUUUGUAAGUAACUGUGCACAUCUUGACGGUACCUAAUCAGAAAGCCACGGCUAACUACGUG
rnacentral:rRNA from 1 species